UUAAGCGACUAAGCGUACACGGUGGAUGCCCUGGCAGUCAGAGGCGAUGAAGGACGUGCUAAUCUGCGAAAAGCGUCGGUAAGGUGAUAUGAACCGUUACAGCCGGCGAUGUCCGAAUGGGGAAACCCAGUGCAAUUCGUUGCACUAUCGUUUGAUGAAUACAUAGUCAAACGAGGCGAACCGGGGGAACUGAAACAUCUAAGUACCCCGAGGAAAAGAAAUCAACCGAGAUUCCCCCAGUAGCGGCGAGCGAACGGGGAGCAGCCCGGAGUCUGAAUCAGCUUGUGUGUUAGUGGAAGCGUCUGGAAAGUCGCAGGGUACAGGGUGAUACUCCCGUACACUAAAACGCACAGGUUGUGAACUCGAAGAGUAGGGCGGGACACGUGGUAUCCUGUCUGAAUAUGGGGGGACCAUCCUCCAAGGCUAAAUACUCCUGACUGACCGAUAGUGAACCAGUACCGUGAGGGAAAGGCGAAAAGAACCCCGGCGAGGGGAGUGAAAAAGAACCUGAAACCGUGUACGUACAAGCAGUAGGAGCCCACUUGUUGGGUGACUGCGUACCUUUUGUAUAAUGGGUCAGCGACUUAUAUUCUGUAGCAAGGUUAACCGUAUAGGGGAGCCGCAGGGAAACCGAGUCUUAACUGGGCGUUAAGUUGCAGGGUAUAGACCCGAAACCCGGUGAUCUAGCCAUGGGCAGGUUGAAGGUUGGGUAACACUAACUGGAGGACCGAACCGACUAAUGUUGAAAAAUUAGCGGAUGACUUGUGGCUGGGGGUGAAAGGCCAAUCAAACCGGGAGAUAGCUGGUUCUCCCCGAAAGCUAUUUAGGUAGCGCCUCGUGAACUCAUCUUCGGGGGUAGAGCACUGUUUCGGCUAGGGGGUCAUCCCGACUUACCAACCCGAUGCAAACUACGAAUACCGAAGAAUGUUAUCACGGGAGACACACGGCGGGUGCUAACGUCCGUCGUGAAGAGGGAAACAACCCAGACCGCCAGCUAAGGUCCCAAAGUCAUGGUUAAGUGGGAAACGAUGUGGGAAGGCCCAGACAGCCAGGAUGUUGGCUUAGAAGCAGCCAUCAUUUAAAGAAAGCGUAAUAGCUCACUGGUCGAGUCGGCCUGCGCGGAAGAUGUAACGGGGCUAAACCAUGCACCGAAGCUGCGGCAGCGACGCUUAUGCGUUGUUGGGUAGGGGAGCGUUCUGUAAGCCGUUGAAGGUGGCCUGUGAGGGUUGCUGGAGGUAUCAGAAGUGCGAAUGCUGACAUAAGUAACGAUAAUGCGGGUGAAAAACCCGCACGCCGGAAGACCAAGGGUUCCUGUCCAACGUUAAUCGGGGCAGGGUGAGUCGACCCCUAAGGCGAGGCCGAAAGGCGUAGUCGAUGGGAAACAGGUUAAUAUUCCUGUACUUGGUGUUACUGCGAAGGGGGGACGGAGAAGGCUAUGUUGGCCGGGCGACGGUUGUCCCGGUUUAAGCGUGUAGGUGUGUGUUCCAGGUAAAUCCGGUUCACUUUAACACUGAGGCGUGAUGACGAGGCACUACGGUGCUGAAGUGACAAAUGCCCUGCUUCCAGGAAAAGCCUCUAAGCAUCAGGUAACAUCAAAUCGUACCCCAAACCGACACAGGUGGUCAGGUAGAGAAUACCAAGGCGCUUGAGAGAACUCGGGUGAAGGAACUAGGCAAAAUGGUGCCGUAACUUCGGGAGAAGGCACGCUGAUAUGUAGGUGAAGUGGUUUACCCAUGGAGCUGAAAUCAGUCGAAGAUACCAGCUGGCUGCAACUGUUUAUUAAAAACACAGCACUGUGCAAACACGAAAGUGGACGUAUACGGUGUGACGCCUGCCCGGUGCCGGAAGGUUAAUUGAUGGGGUUAUCCGUAAGGAGAAGCUCUUGAUCGAAGCCCCGGUAAACGGCGGCCGUAACUAUAACGGUCCUAAGGUAGCGAAAUUCCUUGUCGGGUAAGUUCCGACCUGCACGAAUGGCGUAAUGAUGGCCAGGCUGUCUCCACCCGAGACUCAGUGAAAUUGAACUCGCUGUGAAGAUGCAGUGUACCCGCGGCAAGACGGAAAGACCCCGUGAACCUUUACUAUAGCUUGACACUGAACACUGGUCCUUGAUGUGUAGGAUAGGUGGGAGGCUUUGAAGNUGGAGCCAUCCUUGAAAUACCACCCUUUAAUGGCUGGUGUUCUAACGUGGGCCCCUAAUCGGGGUUGCGGACAGUGUCUGGUGGGUAGUUUGACUGGGGCGGUCUCCUCCUAAAGAGUAACGGAGGAGCACGAAGGUCAGCUAAUCCUGGUCGGACAUCAGGAGGUUAGUGCAAUGGCAUAAGCUGGCUUGACUGCGAGCGUGACGGCGCGAGCAGGUGCGAAAGCAGGUCAUAGUGAUCCGGUGGUUCUGAAUGGAAGGGCCAUCGCUCAACGGAUAAAAGGUACUCCGGGGAUAACAGGCUGAUACCGCCCAAGAGUUCAUAUCGACGGCGGUGUUUGGCACCUCGAUGUCGGCUCAUCACAUCCUGGGGCUGAAGUAGGUCCCAAGGGUAUGGCUGUUCGCCAUUUAAAGUGGUACGCGAGCUGGGUUUAGAACGUCGUGAGACAGUUCGGUCCCUAUCUGCCGUGGGCGCUGGAGAAUUGAGGGGGGCUGCUCCUAGUACGAGAGGACCGGAGUGGACGCAUCACUGGUGUUCGGGUUGUCAUGCCAAUGGCAUUGCCCGGUAGCUAAAUGCGGAAGAGAUAAGUGCUGAAAGCAUCUAAGUACGAAACUUGCCCCGAGAUGAGUUCUCCCUGACUCCUUGAGAGUCCUGAAGGAACGUUGAAGACGACGACGUUGAUAGGCCGGGUGUGUAAGCGCAGCGAUGCGUUGAGCUAACCGGUACUAAUGAACCGUGAGGCUUAACCU
rnacentral:rRNA from 1 species